rnacentral:rRNA from 1 species
UACGGGGGGAGCAAGCGUUGUUCGGAUUUACUGGGCGUAAAGGGCGCGUAGGCGGCCUCCGCAAGUCAGUUGUGAAAUCUCCGAGCUUAACUCGGAAAGGUCAACUGAUACUGCGGGGCUAGAGUGCGGAAGGGGCAACUGGAAUUCUUGGUGUAGCGGUGAAAUGCGUAGAUAUCGAGUGGAACACCGGUGGCGGAGGCGGCUUUCUGGACAGGUACUGACGCUGAGACGCGAAAGCGUGGGGAGCAAACAGG